rnacentral:rRNA from 1 species
GAUGAACGCUAGCGGCAGGCUUAACACAUGCAAGUCGAGGGGCAGCAUGACACGGAGAUUCGUCGAAGUGUUGAUGGCGACCGGCGCAAGGGUGCGUAACGCGUGAGCAACUUGCCCGUUUCUGGGGGAAUAACCGGUGGAAACGCCGACUAAUACCCCAUAGUAUAACGAAGAGGCAUCUUUUUGUUAUUAAAGAACUUCGGAAACGGAUAGGCUCGCGUGACAUUAGCUAGAUGGCGGGGUAACGGCCCACCAUGGCGACGAUGUCUAGGGGUUCUGAGAGGAAGGUCCCCCANACUGGAACUGAGACACGGUCCAGACUCCUACGGGAGGCAGCAGUGAGGAAUAUUGGUCAAUGGUCGGAAGACUGAACCAGCCAAGUAGCGUGAAGGAUGAAGGUUCAUGGAUUGUAAACUUCUUUAUACGGGAAUAAAACGUCCCACGUGUGGGAUCUUGUAUGUACCGUAUGAAUAAGCAUCGGCUAACUCCGUG